rnacentral:tRNA from 1 species
GUAAAUGUAGCUCAGUGGUAGAGUGUUUGCCUACCAUGUGUGAGGCCCUGAGUUCAAUCCCAGCACUUCCA